UUUUAUAGUGGUUCGGAGCUAACCCUUGCUCCUACGUCCACUCCCCAAGUCUCACUUGGGAAUUCACUAUAACCCCUUGGAUUAUAGCCGGUUGUUUUCCAAGCUCACAACCAAACUUGUUGUUUUACGAGCUCACAACGAACUCGGUCGGUUUUCCCAGGCUCACCGACUAGAACCACCCCGAUUGUUUUUUCGGGAUCACAAUCGAACCCUUACACACGUUGGUUUUACACUCGGCUCACCAACCAACCUCAAUACCCUUGAUUCAAUCCCCCGAUUGAACCAAGCAAAGACAAG
rnacentral:lncRNA from 1 species